AGAGUUUGAUCCUGGCUCAGAUUGAACGCUGGCGGCAGGCCUAAUUUCCAUGUCAAGUAAACGGGGCAGCUUAGGUCAAAUGAGGUAGAAGCUUGCUUCUCUUGAGAGCGGCGGACGGGUGAGUAAUGCCUAGGAAUCUGCCUGGUAGUGGGGGAUAACGCUCGGAAACGGACGCUAAUACCGCAUACGUCCUACGGGAGAAAGCAGGGGACCUUCGGGCCUUGCGCUAUCAGAUGAGCCUAGGUCGGAUUAGCUAGUUGGUGAGGUAAUGGCUCACCAAGGCGACGAUCCGUAACUGGUCUGAGAGGAUGAUCAGUCACACUGGAACUGAGACACGGUCCAGACUCCUACGGGAGGCAGCAGUGGGGAAUAUUGGACAAUGGGCGAAAGCCUGAUCCAGCCAUGCCGCGUGUGUGAAGAAGGUCUUCGGAUUGUAAAGCACUUUAAGUUGGGAGGAAGGGCAUUAACCUAAUACGUUGGUGUCUUGACGUUACCGACAGAAUAAGCACCGGCUAACUCUGUGCCAGCAGCCGCGGUAAUACAGAGGGUGCAAGCGUUAAUCGGAAUUACUGGGCGUAAAGCGCGCGUAGGUGGUUCGUUAAGUUGGAUGUGAAAUCCCCGGGCUCAACCUGGGAACUGCAUUCAAAACUGACGAGCUAGAGUAUGGUAGAGGGUGGUGGAAUUUCCUGUGUAGCGGUGAAAUGCGUAGAUAUAGGAAGGAACACCAGUGGCGAAGGCGACCACCUGGACUGAUACUGACACUGAGGUGCGAAAGCGUGGGGAGCAAACAGGAUUAGAUACCCUGGUAGUCCACGCCGUAAACGAUGUCAACUAGCCUGGACUGACUGGAUGGCCUUGAGCUACUUACGUGGUCGCCCAGCUAACGCAUUACGAGUUGAUCCGCCUGGGGAGUACGGCCGCAAGGUUAAAACUC
rnacentral:rRNA from 1 species